rnacentral:sRNA from 1 species
UUGACAAUCUUGGGAAUGAAGUCUUCUACUUAUCCUUAGACCAGGUAAAACAAAGGCAGCAGGAGUGCAAACUUCCCCACCCCGCUAAAAUGCCUCAACCUUUUUCUAAAGGGGCUACCAGAAAUGCACUGUGCAGUACAGGGUAAUAUGAACACCAUGUUCAUGCAAUCUUAGGUCAUUCUCUUGAGUCU